UGAACGCUGGCGGCGUGCCUACUACAUGCACGUCGAGCGAACAGAUGAGGAGCUUGCUCCUCUGACGUUAGCGGCGGACGGGUGAGUAACACGUGGAUAACCUACCUAUAAGACUGGGAUAACUUCGGGAAACCGGAGCUAAUACCGGAUAAUAUAUUGAACCGCAUGGUUCAAUAGUGAAAGACGGUUUUGCUGUCACUUAUAGAUGGAUCCGCGCCGCAUUAGCUAGUUGGUAAGGUAACGGCUUACCAAGGCAACGAUGCGUAGCCGACCUGAGAGGGUGAUCGGCCACACUGGAACUGAGACACGGUCCAGACUCCUACGGGAGGCAGCAGUAGGGAAUCUUCCGCAAUGGGCGAAAGCUUGACGGAGCAACGCCGCGUGAGUGAUGAAGGUCUUCGGAUCGUAAAACUCUGUUAUUAGGGAAGAACAAAUGUGUAAGUAACUAUGCACGUCUUGACGGUACCUAAUCAGAAAGCCACGGCUAACUACGUG
rnacentral:rRNA from 1 species